GCCUCAGCCUCCCUAAGUGCUGGGAUUACAGGCUUGAGCUACUGUGCCCAGCCUCAAUGUACUAAUUUAACCUCCUUCAACUUGCCACCCAUCCCCACACUGUUCUGAGAUUUAGAUAUAGAGUCAUCCUCUUGUAUAGAUGCACCACAGCCGCUGAGAAAGAGCAUUUAGCUUGCUCUGAAGGGAAGUUAAUUGCAGAUGCACUGCCAGGAUCUUUGUCCUCUUGGGGCACAGUCAGGCUACUUCCCUCAGAAACGAUCAGCAGCUCCCCUCUGUUUUCAGAGUACAGCCCAAACCUUUGGGUUUGACAUUUAAGGCCCUAUGUGAUCCAUUUCCAAACUUUUACUCAGUUUUAGAGCCGAAGUUUGUCUCUCAUCCUGGGUCUUCUUUUCCUUGCGUACGUUCUGCACUUUGCCCUAUCUGCAUAUGUUCCUGCUCACCCUUGGUGUGGCUUUUCACCUGUUGCCCACCUGUGAGACGUCACUCAUCGUCUGCAGAAGUCUGACCUGCAGACCCUGACUCAACGACGGAUGAAUGAAUGCACUCUCACACCAUUACUGUGUUCCAAGUGGGCUAGGGAUGGCCAUUGGCUACUUUCAGAGGGCAAAAUGCAACCAAUCAACCCAGACCCUCUGUCUGUCCACACAUUUAUUCCCCGAAGAUUUUACAACAGAGGUUCUAAGUUAACACACUUGUGGAUAAUUAACAUGGUUAAAAGAGUGGUUAUACGACUGACAAAAGCUUUAGGUUCAGGGGCCCAGAGUAAAAGCUAUCAACAGGUAAUUCCCCUUUGAUCUUCCCCAUCCAGCACAAAGUUAACCUGAGUAAACAGAGUAGAGAUGAAUGGGUGUGGGGUAAGCCUUUUGAUGGGUCUCUAUCUCUUUCUAACUUAAUGGACUGACUGGCUGCCUUAGGCCUGCGGCAAUAAAACCUUUCAGCUUUCCAAAAGGUUUGAGACUAUAUAACUUUCCCUAUUUUCCAUAAUAGUUUGCUUCCACCCCGAGUGAACAGCAACAUUUCCCCCUUGUUUUCAACACUAUCAGGCUUUGCUGUCUGCCAGCCAGUGAUUGGUUCAGCUAUGGGUCUGUCAGGUGAUUCGGUCAUUGCUUUCAUUCCAGCUUUGCAUCCUAGGAUUAAUAAAUAACAUAAGACAAUUAUGACUACAAUUAGCAACAGUUGUUUCCAGUUAAAGAGUGACUUGCAGGAAUGGGGGUCUAACCAGGAGAGAGGAUUUUGCACACCUUUCCAUAUUUUUGACCAGAUUAUCCACAAAAGCAGCUGUUUGUACUGACUCAGUAAUAGAGCCACUGCAACGCUGGCUGUUGUCAGGAUGACCAUGGCUGGGAGUAUAGAAGCUAGAAGUAUAACUAUGAAUCUUUUAUGUUUGACCUAUAGUAUUACUUGGCAUUUCAGUUUACUAUAUGACAUUAAUGAGAAACUUUACGAGAGGCAUGUUAAUCCUUUUUAGUUAAGCAGUUGCCUUGUUAGAGGCUGUGAAGGGGGUGUUAGUUUAAGUUACAGAGCAGAAAAAUUGUGGAUUAGAAGAUGAGCUUGAUAGAGUGUAGCAAGUACAGGUUGCAAGCAAAGUGAAAGAAUAAAAAACAAAUCCUAAGCAGGAUUCACUUAGCUUUUUGCGUUGUCCUCUUCAGCAUUCCUCAGGUGAAGUUUGGGGCUUAUGUGGUCUAAGAAAGCUGCAUCGUGCUGCAGGGUUUCUCUCAGGCUGGCUUAGGUUUUUACUUCUUUCCAUCCUUUAACGAGCAUGCAGUUUUUUGGCUGGUGCUGGUAUGCUGGAAAUUCUAGUAGUUUUGUCUGUGCUGAGAGACUUUUUAUAAUUUUUGUAAAAGAACAGGUUAGUGCUUUAAGAAAAACGUUGCCAGUUUACAGAAAAACUGGAUAUUUCUUUAACUUUUAACCAAUAUGUUUACACACAGAAUUCCUUUUACAAUUAAUGUUUUAAAACUUGCUUAGACCUUUACAACAAAAUUUAUACAACCUACUUGCAUAAAUUCCCUUUUAUAACAUUUUUCACAACUUUCACUGACAACUUGGACAUGCCUUAACAUCUUUUGACUUUGUUUUACAACCUUCCUUACCUCUUUCUUUUUCUCUCUCUCUUACUGAUCCUUUCUUUCUAUUUCUCUUUUUGAUUUUUCUGUUUCUAUGUGUGUUGGUUAAGCAGUGAUGUUAUCACUGGUAAGCCUGCUUGUCCAUUGCCGUAAACUAAUAGGCCAGGCAGUGAGCUAUAGACUUAAAGCUGCUUUAAGAUUUUGUAUAGAUAAACUGAGGAAGCCAACUUACUUACUAUAUUUAUAAGCUGAGCAGAGAAAGUUUUUAAUGCUAGUAUCACAGCUUUAAUUUCAACUCUUUAACUGCUAGUAAACUUAGAUUGGGUGAUUGAAUUACGUGGUUUUUACCAGACUUUAGAUUUUCUUUGUUUACUUGACCUAUUCAGCAAACAGUGUUAAAGCAUUAGGUACGGAGAAGGGCAAUACUACUUUAAAUUGUUUUUUCCUUAAAGGAAUCUUGAUGAUAUUAGGAUUAACUUAACAAUUGACUGCAGUAAUCGUUCAAAUGGCAAGCUGAAAUUGGUGACAUGAAGUUUAAAAGGAAAUUUGAAAAUAUCUCUAGAAGCAAAGACUCAAAGAAUAUACUUUAACCAUGUGAUUAAAGUUAUAGGCAGAAUAGCUUAAACCUUGCCAUUGAGUUUUCAGGCUGACCAAGUUUAUGGACUUUAAAUUAGCAAACUGUUCUGAAAACAAUGAUUUACUAGUUGAGCCAAGACUAUCUUUAAUCCAUCUUUCGUGCAUGUGUUUUCACCACACUCACAUACAAAUUUCUUUUACCUUUUGAGAAAUGGGCACAACAUUUUUACUUCUUAAUUCAAUAAUUAUUAUUUAACUUGGCUUAAAGUUUUCCUUUAAAGGAUAAUGAGUGGUUUUACAUACUUAGUUUUUAAUUGCUCUUUAACUUAUUUGUGGGCUUUUUUAAAUAGCUGAUUGAAAUUUAUCAUCUAAAUUUACAAAAUUAAGGGUAAAUAAGGCUUGUGCUAAUAGUGCUGCUUUUAAGAUAGAAAACAGGUUUUGCAACUUAUCAGUCAGGAAAUUCUUUUCCAGUGAGGAGCAAGGCUAUAUGGCUGGCUUUUAAUUGCUUCUACUAAUUCAUGGGCUUGCUGUAAUUUCUCUCCCUUUAGAGAUUACUGCUUUACUUAAUUUGAAUUUUAAAAGAGCUAUGUUAAGAAUAAGGUUGGAAUAACAACAGUGGCUAAUGUUAGCAAAAGGUUUUACAAAUCCUUAAAUUUUACUUAAAUCUUAGCAGAGAAUUACAGUUUGGGAUGUUGCUCAUAUACAAAGAACACAUGAAAUUUCAUGUGGGAUACAUGUGUGACCCCGCCCAGCUGCUGCUUGCUGCUUGCUGCUUUCGGCUUGCUCUGCUCCCUCCUCCCGCCUGGGCUGCGGCUGCCAGCCUGGGUGGAGCUUCCCUGCAGCGGAGCCUUUUCUCCCUUUUUUUCCCUUUCACUUGGCUGCGUGUCUUUAGCCUGAAAUGCCUUUUUCUUAUCUUUUUAUAUACAAACACCUGAUUUUCUUGCCAAUUAUCAAUUACUGGGCAGGCUAAGAGUUUCUUUUGUAAUGCCACUUGCUUAAAACAAUUUCCUAUAGUUGUAGCAUUUCCUUUGUCCCUUUUCCUAUUUAUUAGAUGCCUCUGUGCAUAAUUCCUCCCGUGUUCCCAGAGCUUUACGUCCAGCAUGCCUACGGGCCUUGGGAAACAGCAGUUUGAAUUAUGUUUCUUAGUGGAGCUUGAUAUGUUUCUGUUGCACUGAUAACUGCUGUCCCAUGCUGAAGCCCUAACCUGAAACAGUGCCUCCCCAAGCUUGGCAAUUCCCAGUGGAUACCGAAGACUUACUUCUACUUUACCUGACCUGACUGCACGGCCCUCUUUACUUUCUGGUCUCGGGAGAUCUGCUGUUUCUUCUUUCCUUCUUCACGGUGAUCAGUCACCACCUGAGACGUUGCUCCCCAUCUGUGGAAGUCUGACCUGCAGACCCUGACUCAACGAUGGAUGAAUGAGUGCACUCUCACACCAUUACAGUGUUUCAAGUGGGCUAGGGAUGGCCAUUGGCUGCUUUCAGAGGGUGAAAUGCAACCAAUCAACCCAGACCCUCUGUCUGUCCACACAUUUAUUCCCCCAAGAUUUUACAACAGAGGUUCUAAGUUAACACACUUGUGGAUAAUUAACAUGGUUAGACAAGUGGUUGAGUGGUCUAACUGACAAAAGCUUUAGGUUCCAGGGCCCAGAGUAAAUGUUAUUAACAGGUAAUUCCCCUUUGAUCUUCCCCAUCCAGCACAAAGCUAACGUGAGUGGAAAUGAAUGGGUGUGGGGUAAGCCCUUUGAUGGGUCUCCGUCUCUUUCUAACUUAAUGGACUGGCUGGCUGCCUUCAGUCUUCCCCAAUAAAACCUUUUGGCCUCCCAAAAGGUUUGAGACUGUAAUCUAUAACUUUCCCUAAGUAUUUUCCGUAAUAUUUUCCCACCACCCCAAGCGAAUAGCAACACGUGAUUUCGCCAGGAUUCUGUCCCCCUCACAUGGAUAUGAGGCCCAUGUAAUUGUCAGAACCCUGAGCUUAUGCAGGCCCCACACUUGGUUUAAUGUUCUGCUUUCACUGUUUUGAAAUUCUUAAUAAUUGAUGAACAAAGUCCCCAACAUUUUUUUUUUUUUUCCCAUUCUGGCUUCUCAACAAGUCCCCAUAUUUUUAUUUUGCAGUGGUUCCUACAAAUUAGGUAGGUGCUCCUGACUGCCACAGUAGAUCUAGGAUAGAGCCCAAGAUUUCACAUUUCUGACAAGAUCCCAGGUGAUGCUGAUGCCUCUGGUCCGUGGGUCACACUUUGAGUAGCAAGGCUCAGUCUAAAGUGUGUUAGACCUAACAACUUGGAAGGAACCUGAAAGACAGUAUGGAGCUGAAGUCCCCGGCAGCUGAAAUACUCAUCACAAGCUGUUAAGUGAGACAUAAAUUUGGAUAUUUUUUUAACAUUCUGUAUUUUGGAGUAUCUUUGUUAAAGCAAGUUAGCCUUACCCUAACUAAAGGAAGUGAAGGAGAGCAGGUCGCACAGUUCCGUCCUUUUCUAAUUUUGGAAAAAAUUUUGGAAAAAGCCUACAAGGCUUUUUUUGAGUGGUCAAAUCCAAGCUCAUGCUCUCUGGUUCGCUUCGUCCAGUGCUGGGGGCGUGGAGAUGCUGACUGGAAUGACCUUACUGAUCUGAAGGGCUGGAGACUGACUCCGGAAGAAGACCUCUUAGACUUCUAGCCCAGACCAUGCAGUGCAGCCCAACUUAACCAGAGUUCUGUUUUGAAGUUUGGGACCAAACCCCAACCAACAAUCGAGUACUGGUCAUUGUCGUCAGAACUUAUCUCCACUGGGGACCUUGUGGGUUUGAUUGGGCAUAAGAUUCAUAUAUUCCUUGUAUCCCCUAACCAUAAAGGCCAUCAUAUUACCCUCAUUUUACCCCAACCUCUAACAAAGUGCCUUUGUUGUAAGAAAACAAAAACAAGUUAUUUUAAGCAAAAGAUGAUGUAAUGUGUUACAAUCUUAUUGCUAGGAAUGACACCAGGUCCCUAAACCUAUUACCGCCCCAUAGCAUCCCUAAAUUCCUUCAGUGUCUUAUGGAGCACUGUGCUCCAGAUCAUGAUCCCCCUGGGAGUGGCAUCUGUGUGGGACUGCAAGGGUUAUGGUGGGUUUCCUUAGUCCAUGUGGUUUACACUUCUCUAUCUCUCCCAGCCGCCCUGCCCCUCUUCCCAUCUUGGCUUCCCUACCCAGUAUAGUUUCUUCUUGUCUCUUUUAUUCUCAGUCUAAGAUCCAAUCCAUUUCUUUGUUCCCAAGUGAACUUGCUGUGUCCAGACUUAACUUUCAAAAAGCAAAGCUUUGCGUUUUGUAUCAGAUGCAGCCUAUCAACUACUUCAGACCUUCUGGCCCCCUCUUCUUUCUCCAGCCACUGCUACAGUGAUGAGUUCCACCACAGGCUUUGAUUCAUUUCAUGUAGGUACAACCUGGCAGCACCUUGCUUUGGGUCUGCUCCAUGGACGUUCUGUUUCCUAUUCCAGGUAGAUCCGCUGGACACUCACAUGUGCCUAGACAAGAAAUGCAGAAAAGUUAGCAGUGGUGGGGCCACCCUUGACCAAAGGGAGAUGGAGGCCAGUUGCUAGGUGCCUUUCUUUUUGGAUUCCUGAUGGAGAGCACUGAGACACUUCUUAUACGAUGUUCCUCUGAAGGUCCCAGUGGCAUCAGUUAUGUGACUCUUAUGCAUGGCCAGCUCUAUAACGUGUCCCUGUAUUGGCCUUGCUCCUCACUGUUUUAUCCACUGUCUCACUCCUGCUCCCAAGUUCAUUCACUGAAUAAAAUACCUGCACACAAGACUUUGUUUCUGCUUUCUUUUCAGGAGAACCCAUGCUAAGAAUUGUGGAAAGGUGGUGAAGGUGGGAAGGAGAUGCAGUGGGAGAGGCUGCUAUUCUUUGGGGCGUUAUCACCCAGACUUAGUCUGUUAUCCAAGUUGAGGGUGCAUUAGGUAAGAAACAGAACAUACCCAGUCAUCAUUGCAGGCUGAGUCUUCUCUCUCCCCACGUGACCUGCUUCCUUCUCCCUCUGCUCUGAUGUCUCCCACAUCUGUUCAGCAGAGCUCCCUGACCCUACCUGCAGAUGCAGCAUGGCUUAUGGCUUGGUAUAGCAACUACUGAAGGAUCCUCAACCUCUAGUCUCCAGGCAAGCCUCCAACUACACUCUGGGGUACUAGGGAGAAUGGCACAUCCACACUUAAUAACAAGAGACUCAAAGGCAUUACUUCUGAUCAAGGAACUAAUUUUACAAAAAAUGAAGUGUGACCGGGACCCAUGCUUAUGGAAUUCACUGGUCUUGCCAUGUUCCCUGUCUUCCUGAAGAAGAGAGGGAGUCUCCACUGCUGAAUCUCUUGACCUUGUUCCGUGUAUCCCAGGUUCUGGAGUCAGAUGAACCAGCCUGUGGUCCUGGCUCUGUACCUGUUACAUGUGUGACUUUGGAGAAGGUCCUGAGUAUGUAUCUCUAAACCUGUUUGUCCAACUGAGAACAUCAAAGGCUUCUCUGGAGUGUCAAUCAGAUAAAGCAUGUAAAGUAAAGGACACAGUCUUGCAAUUGCAAUUUAAAAGAUGGCAGCCAUUCUAGUUACUAUUCACUGGCCUUCCAUACCCCAGCAGAGUUUGCACUGCCACCAGUGUGUGCCUGUAUUGAGGCUCCUGUUGUGUCGUGUCUACCUGCUGCAGUCCCUUCCUCUUUCAAACAAUAAACACAGUCAGAUGACAAUGA